GAGUUUGAUCCUGGCUCAGGAUGAACGCUGGCGGCGUGCUUAACACAUGCAAGUCGAACGAACCUUCGGGUUAGUGGCGGACGGGUGAGUAACGCGUGAGAAUCUGCCCUCAGGAGGGGGAUAACAGCUGGAAACGGCUGCUAAUACCCCAUAUGCCGCGAGGUGAAAUGAAUUUCGCCUGAGGAUGAGCUCGCGUCUGAUUAGCUAGUUGGUGUAGGUAAUGGCUCACCAAGGCAUCGAUCAGUAGCUGGUCUGAGAGGAUGAUCAGCCACACUGGGACUGAGACACGGCCCAGACUCCUACGGGAGGCAGCAGUGGGGAAUUUUCCGCAAUGGGCGAAAGCCUGACGGAGCAACGCCGCGUGAGGGAUGAAGGCCUCUGGGCUGUAAACCUCUUUUAUCAAGGAAGAAGAUCUGACGGUACUUGAUGAAUAAGCCACGGCUAAUUCCGUGCCAGCAGCCGCGGUAAUACGGGAGUGGCAAGCGUUAUCCGGAAUUAUUGGGCGUAAAGCGUCCGCAGGCGGCCCUUCAAGUCUGCUGUUGAAAAGUGGAGCUUAACUCCAUCAUGGCAGUGGAAACUGAGGGGCUUGAGUGUGGUAGGGGCAGAGGGAAUUCCCGGUGUAGCGGUGAAAUGCGUAGAUAUCGGGAAGAACACCAGUGGCGAAGGCGCUCUGCUGGGCCAUCACUGACGCUCAUGGACGAAAGCCAGGGGAGCGAAAGGGAUUAGAUACCCCUGUAGUCCUGGCCGUAAACGAUGAACACUAGGUGUCGGGGGAAUCGACCCCCUCGGUGUCGUAGCCAACGCGUUAAGUGUUCCGCCUGGGGAGUACGCACGCAAGUGUGAAACUCAAAGGAAUUGACGGGGGCCCGCACAAGCGGUGGAGUAUGUGGUUUAAUUCGAUGCAACGCGAAGAACCUUACCAGGGUUUGACAUCCUGCGAAUCUCUUGGAAACGAGAGAGUGCCUUCGGGAGCGCAGUGACAGGUGGUGCAUGGCUGUCGUCAGCUCGUGUCGUGAGAUGUUGGGUUAAGUCCCGCAACGAGCGCAACCCACGUCUUUAGUUGCCAGCAUUUAGUUGGGCACUCUAGAGAGACCGCCGGUGAUAAACCGGAGGAAGGUGUGGAUGACGUCAAGUCAUCAUGCCCCUUACAUCCUGGGCUACACACGUACUACAAUGCUACGGACAAAGGGCAGCAAGUUCGCGAGGACAAGCAAAUCCCAUAAACCGUGGCUCAGUUCAGAUCGUAGGCUGCAACUCGCCUACGUGAAGGAGGAAUCGCUAGUAAUCGCAGGUCAGCAUACUACGGUGAAUACGUUCCCGGGCCUUGUACACACCGCCCGUCACACCAUGGAAGUUGGCCACGCCCGAAGCCGUUACUCCAACCCUUGUGGAGGAGGACGUCGAAGGUGGGGCUGAUGACUGGGGUGAAGUCGUAACAAGGUAACC
rnacentral:rRNA from 1 species